rnacentral:tRNA from 1 species
GCGGCGCGUGGUCGAGGCGCUCCUCCGGCGGCUCCCACUCGCCGAUCGAGGUCCUGACCUCCCGCUCGAUCCGCUCGAUCUCGCCGCGC